ensembl:miRNA
CAGGGUUGGUACUGAUGGACCAGGGGCUCUACUGGUCCAUCAGUACCAACCCUGUC